rnacentral:rRNA from 1 species
GCACGCAAGUACCGGAAGAGGCCCCGCAAGCUUGUUGACCCACUACUACGUGCUAGCAAGAGCGAGAGAGCUCAGAUUGCGGAAUGCGUUAAGGUGGCUCUGCUGUGCGUCCAAUGUCGUGCUGAAUGUAGGCCCGCCAUGUCGGAAGUUGUCGCGAUGCUCUGCAGCAUCGGGAGUGGGAGAUCGUCACCAGCUUACUGCUGUCACUGAGUGAUAAUCAGGCGUUGUAGUUGACCAAGGACGGCCAGAGAUUAUGGCCGUCACAUUCACAUGUAUGUUCACAAUGGGCAUGGACAUGACAAAGGAAGUGGGAUUCUGCAUUCUGAUCUGGCUCCUGGUCGCCCUAGUUCUGUUGAAGGUGAAUGGCUGAUACCCUGAUUUGCACUCAGAUUUGCCGUCCAUCACAAAACACAGAGCUAUUUCUACAGUGUAAUGCGUUACCGUACCAUGCUGGCUUGCUGUCAACACUAAUUGGGAAGUCAACAAAAGAAA